CCUAGUCAGAAUCUAAUUUUCAUUACAGCCAUAAUAGUGGCUUUGCAUAAUUGCACAUAUAUUAAUACCUAACGUGCCAGUGCCUAUUUGGUUAAAAUUCAUGAAUUCGGGUCUAAAAACAAAGUGCUGAUGGCUGAAGUUUUUCAUUCUCUUAAAGUGUGCUUGGGUCGGUUUUUUAAAGUCAGUCUCUCUCCUUGGCAACAACUUGCUCUUAAUCCUAUUAUUAAUGGGUAAGGGAGAGGAAAACAAAGCAGGGCCCUGCUCCCUGGGGACGCAGCAGCUGCAGAGGGGGCCGUGGCCACGCAAGUGACAGUCACCCCUGGCACUGCCUCCCUGUGUGACCCAGAGUACACCAUUCUGUCUCUCUGGGCCUCGGCUUCCUCUGGUAGAGAAAUGAGAGAUGGGUUUAGCUGGCCUCCAAGAUCUCUUCUGCUUCCAAAACACAGGCACGUAGCUGACAUUUGCUGAGGCUCAGCCUGGCACCAAGCUCUGGGCUGGGAGGAGGGACGAUGGUCACUGUCUUUGAGCUGGGACGCAGCCAGGCAGCAGACAAAGCCACGGAGCAGCUUGGGAGGCUUCCUGGAAGAAGUGACAUUUGAGAUGAGACCGGAACGGGAGCUCACAGGAACAAAGCCAAGCGCCUGGGAAUAGCAUCUGGAGCCCUCCAGGAAGAAAUGCCGUCUCCUGUGCCCCCCCCCCCCGGCCCCCGGCCACCCUGGUUAACCAGGUUAACCUGGUGACACUAGGGAAGCCACUUCCCCGGUCUGUGUGUGGAACAGCAGCACACGUGGCUCAGGGCCGCCGUGCGGAUUAAUGACGACGCCUGGGCCCAGAAAGUGGACGCUGCUGACCAGCACCGGAUGCCAACCCUCGAACCCCAGUCUGUCCUCCACUCGGCCUUUCCGGGUCCCACGUCCCUCUUCCAGGUUCCAGCACACGCCCGUCCAGGAACAUGUGGACAGGCACGCUGUCUCCCCUCUGGCCGCGAUCGCUCAGGGCCAGAGCAGUGCUGGGAGGGAGGGUGAGACAGAGCUACCUGUGACCUCUUCUGCCCUGGUGGGGCACCCCGUAACAAAACAGCACGGCAAGGGAGGCGGCACAAGGCUCCUGGAGCGGGCAGCUUGGGGGGCGGGCCCGGCCUCCCCCACCAGCCGAGGAGCCGGCAGGAGCAGGUGCAGACAAGACCCCUGGGGUCUACACGCUCCCUGAGCGGGAGGGCCCGGCCGACCCCUCACCCCGGAGGCCGCCAUCCUGGGAGGGGGGUUCCUUGCUUGGGCGUCACCUUGGCGUCCUCAUGGCGGCCCACUGUCCGCGCUUCUGGGUGAGGACGGCAAAGCUCCAGAGGCUCCAGGGCUCGCCCUGCGCCACCCCCCACGCCGUCUCCAAAGGGAAACGCUUUACAGACCGCAAAGCUCGAGCCACCCAUUACCUCCUCCCUGGGCUGCAGCGUCGAGGCCCCAAGUGCCCGGGAGGGACCGGAGCCCAUCCAGGCAGCCGACCGCCCAGUACCACUCGCCAGCCUGGCCUGUGGUCAGGGUUUGGGAACGGGGCCCCCUCGGCAGGGCCCAGCAGAAGCCAUUGAGGAGAUCUCGCGAAGGCGAAGGGCCUGGUUAUUGCUGAAGUGCAGUGUCCCCCAAACUUGCAGCCUUCCCCCUCCCCGGGACUCUGCCUGUCUGCAGACGACCUCCUCCACCACACUCCCGAUGUCUUUCUUCAAAGUCGCCUUAAAUCCACUCGCUUUUGAAAACUCUGCCUUGACCUAAGCAAGGUCUGGAAAUCGUGGGUCCAAUGUGCUGUUUAUUUCCUAAUAAAUACUGAAAUAAAUGCGUAACUCUUCAAAUAAAAGAAAAAAAACACCCAUCUGUGAACCCA